rnacentral:lncRNA from 1 species
ACGGAUCCAGAGGUCUUUCCCGAGAGGUGAUCAUUGAAUUGGCAUCAUCGCCACCUCUCUAGCUACAGACCUAGGCCAGCUGCUCAGACAGCGAAGGGUUCUGGGCGGAUUGGGAAAGCCACUUAAGGAGUCCAGACCUGAUCCGGUGGCUGCCAGUUGAAGAUUUCCAGCAGGAGAGGGCAGAUGGAGCAGAACACAGUUCCACGUGUGCUGCAUGGGGGUGAAAGUAUUUACCGCAGGGGCUGCUGUGAGAGUGGAACGAGAAGACAGAUAAGUCCUUAGGACUGUGCCUGAGCUAGAACACGUGCUCAGUAAGCUGGGCCCCACAGGCCGAGGCAACCUGGGAUGUGGUCACCAACCAGAGCAAGCUCACCAGCAGGUGCGGAUCCAGCCCUGGGGCUCAUCCCAUGCGUGCACAAUUCUACAGACUCUGCGCAGGUGCACGCACACACACACACACACACCUGCCUGCAUGCACACACACACACCCGCACACUGAGGCACAGAGGGCCCCUGCUCCUUCACACACCCCCAGCUCUGCUCUGAGCUGACUCCCUGCCUCCUCCACGGAGCCUGCAGGGCUCCCUUUUCCGUCCGCAUGUGUCUGCGUCUGGAGGGCCCACCCGGGGGUCAGCCCCCCGGGGUUCUGCCCACUGCAGUGCCCCUGACUCCUGCCACCAUCCAGGGCUGACCUGAGCAGGCCUGCCCUGCUCUGUGGCCAGAGUUGAGUCACCUGCUGCCUGAUAGAAAUGUUUGCUUGCGGGAUCAGACACCUUGAGGCCAAGCCCAGGCUCUGCACGUAGUGGAACCGCCAGGAAGGGCAGGUGUCCCGUGAGGUUAGGAAGAAGGUGGCCCCUCACGGGAGCCUCGCAAGAAGAAACCCCGCUGAUAAACACCGUGUUCCACCUGCCAGCCCGGGCAGGGGCCUGUCCCUUGGAGGAGAACCCGGGGUGCGGCAGGGCCUGCUUUUUCCCGCCUGGCAUCCGCAGAGAAGCUUAGCAUGUAGAGCUUACCGUGUAGAGUUCAGCCUUCACCUAGGUCGAGUCCAGAUGCCUUCCCGUGACAAAUGGGGUGGGCAGCAAAUGGGUCGGCUUGCCCUGUCCACACUGCCAAAGCUCUGAAGAGCAGUCUCCCAGGACCAGGGGCCACUGCCAGGCCCAGACCUCCUAGGGCAGCUGGACUCAUGUGACGGAACUUGUGAGCCCCCGCCUGCCGCUUCCUAUGCACUGAAUGUGGUUCUGAAAGCUGGUUUGAAAUGGGUUUCCCCAUCAAGACAAGGGGUCUUGGACUGUGUGUGUGUAGGACUCCCUAAACAAGAUCAAACCCUUUCUAGGCCUCGUGUGGAUUCCAAAGGUCGGGUAAAGCCUGACAAGUUUCCGGGGACCAGACCAAGAUCAGAGUUGGGGGAAAAUUGACAAGAGAGGUCAGGGAAUACAGAGGACGCU